rnacentral:rRNA from 1 species
AGUGAACGCUGGCGGUAGGCCUAACACAUGCAAGUCGAACGGCAGCACAGUAAGAGCUUGCUCUUACGGGUGGCGGGUGGCGGACGGGUGAGGAAUACAUCGGACUCUACUUUUUCGUGGGGGCUAACGUAGGGAAACUUACGCUAAUACCGCAUACGGCCUACGGGUGAAAGCAGGGGAUCUUCGGACCUUGCGCGAUUGAAUGAGCCGAUGUCGGAUUAGCUAGUUGGCGGGGUAAAGGCCCACCAAGGCGACGAUCCGUAGCUGGUCUGAGAGGAUGAUCAGCCACACUGGAACUGAGACACGGUCCAGACUCCUACGGGAGGCAGCAGUGGGGAAUAUUGGACAAUGGGCGCAAGCCUGAUCCAGCCAUACCGCGUGGGUGAAGAAGGCCUUCGGGUUGUAAAGCCCUUUUGUUGGGAAAGAAAAGCAGCAGGUUAAUACCCCGCUGUUCUGACGGUACCCAAAGAAUAAGCACCGGCUAACUUCGUG